ACGUGAACGAGGAACUUAAGGGGGUUGUACUGUACUUACACAGGCUAAUGGGAGUUACCUGGUAAUCGAAGGGGAAACUGUCUGGGAAAUGU
rnacentral:snoRNA from 1 species